rnacentral:rRNA from 1 species
GACGAACGCUGGCGGCGUGCUUAACACAUGCAAGUCGAACGCUGAAGACCUGGCUUUUGUUGGGUUGGAUGAGUGGCGAACGGGUGAGUAACACGUGAGUAACCUGCCCUCUUCUUUGGGAUAACGCCCGGAAACGGGUGCUAAUACUGGAUAUUCACUGGCCUUCGCAUGGGGGUUGGUGGAAAGGUUUGUUCUGGUGGGGGAUGGGCUCGCGGCCUAUCAGCUUGUUGGUGGGGUGAUGGCCUACCAAGGCUUUGACGGGUAGCCGGCCGGAGAGGGUGACCGGUCACAUUGGGACUGAGAUACGGCCCAGACUCCUACGGGAGGCAGCAGUGGGGAAUAUUGCACAAUGGGCGAAAGCCUGAUGCAGCGACGCCGCGUGAGGGAUGGAGGCCUUCGGGUUGUAAACCUCUUUCGCGCAUGGUCAAGCCGCAACUGUGGGUUGUGGUGAGGGUAGUGGGUAAAGAAGCGCCGGCUAACUACGUG